CCUACCCCGUGUCUGCUGGCAGGAGGCUCACACGGGAGGACAGGUACCUGGAGGAGGAGGCGGCGGCGGCGGUGUGGCCGGCUGUCAGUGAGACGAGCUCCUGCUCCUCCUCUUGAUCUCGCUGUUGUGCAGCUUCUCCUCGAUCUUCCUCUCGUGCCCGGCCGGGACAUGGCGGUUCCCGUUCAGCUCGAUCUCUCUCUUGGUUCUCCCCUUGCCCCCGGCCCCGCAGCCGUAGUCCUGCAGGUUGUAAUAUUCAUACUGGUCGUAGUGGUCGCGCUCGAAGUCCACCAGGCUCUCCAGGUCGGCCGACAUGAUCCGCAGUUGGGGCUCGGUCUCUCGCUCCGUCCUGACAGCUGGCUUCUGUUUUCAAAAACAACGAGCACGUGACAGCAACGGCGCUCUGUCAUUGGACGGCUGGGACAAGUGUGGAACGUGGACUGAGUUUGCGUGUCAAGCCUCGCUUUGGGGGGGGGGGGAGGU
rnacentral:lncRNA from 1 species